AACGUAGGUGGCGAGCGUUAUCCGGAUUUACUGGGCGUAAAGGGUGUGCAGGCGGGUCGUCAAGUGGUGUAUGAAAUCGCCCGGCUCAACCGGGUGGGGUUAUGCCAGACUGACGACCUAGAGACCGAGAGAGGGGCGUGGAAUUCCGGGUGUAGUGGUGAAAUGCGUAGAGAUCCGGAGGAACCCCAGAGGCGAAGGCGGCGCCCUAGCUCGGUUCUGACGCUCAGACACGAAAGCAUGGGGAGCGAACGGG
rnacentral:rRNA from 1 species